rnacentral:rRNA from 1 species
CUCAGAAACUUAAAGGAAUUGACGGGGCCCGGCACAAGCGGUGGAGUAUGUGGUUAAUUCGAUGCAACGCGAAGAACCUUACCUGGUCUUGACAUCCCGGAGACCCUUAGGAAACUAGGGGGUGCUUCCAUCUGGAAGAAUCUGGAGACAGGUGCUGCAUGGCUGUCGUCAGCUCGUGUCGUAAGAUGUUGGGUUAAGUCCCGCAACGAGCGCAACCCUUGCCUUUAGUUGCCAGCAGUUCGGCUGGGCACUCUAAAGGGACUGCCGGUGUUAAACCGGAGGAAGGUGGGGAUGACGUCAAGUCCUCAUGGCCUUUAUGACCAGGGCUACACACGUACUACAAUGGCCGAUACAAAGGGCAGCGACACUGCGAGGUGAAGCCAAUCCCGUAAAAUCGGUCUCAGUCCGGAUUGGAGUCUGCAACUCGACUCCAUGAAGUUGGAAUCGCUAGUAAUCGUGGAUCAGCAUGCCACGGUGAAUACGUUCCCGGGCCUU